rnacentral:rRNA from 1 species
UUGAACGCUGGCGGCAUGCUUUACACAUGCAAGUCGAACGGCAGCGGGGAGGAGCUUGCUUCUCUGCCGGCGAGUGGCGAACGGGUGAGUAAUACAUCGGAACGUGUCGAGAAGAGGGGGAUAACCACCCGAAAGGGUGGCUAAUACCGCAUAAAUUCUGAGGAAGAAAGCUGGGGACCUAGGAAUAGGCCUAGCGCUUUUUGAGCGGCCGAUGUCGGAUUAGCUAGUUGGUGAGGUAAAGGCUCACCAAGGCGGAGAUCUGUAGCGGGUCUGAGAGGAUGAUCCGCCACACUGGGACUGAGACACGGCCCAGACUCCUACGGGAGGCAGCAGUGGGGAAUUUUGGACAAUGGGGGCAACCCUGAUCCAGCCAUGCCGCGUGUAUGAAGAAGGCCUUAGGGUUGUAAAGUACUUUUGUUAGGGAAGAAAAGUCAGCUGUGAAUAAUGGCUGAUACUGACGGUACCUAAAGAAUAAGCACCGGCUAACUACGUG